rnacentral:antisense_RNA from 1 species
CUUGAUCGAGCCCAGCCACAGCGGUUGCUCGCCGUCCCGGUCCUGGCCGUAGGUGGCCAGCAGGGCCUGCGCCUC